CCUANGGGUGGCAGCAGUAGGGAAUAUUGCACAAUGGGCGAAAGCCUGAUGCAGCAACGCCGCGUGCACGAUGAAGGCCUUCGGGUCGUAAAGUGCUUUUCUGGGAGAUGAGAAAGGACAGUAUCCCAGGAAUAAGUCUCGGCUAACUACGUGCCAGCAGCCGCGGUAAAACGUAGGAGGCGAGCGUUAUCCGGAUUCACUGGGCGUAAAGCGCGUGCAGGUGGCUUGGUAAGUUGGGCGUGAAAUCUCCCGGCUCAACUGGGAGAGGUCGUCCAAUACUACCGAGCUAGAGAGCAGAAGAGGAAGAUGGAAUUCCCGGUGUAGUGGUGAAAUGCGUAGAUAUCGGGAGGAACACCAGUGGCGAAGGCGAUCUUCUGGUCUGUUUCUGACACUCAGACGCGACAGCUAGGGUAGUAAACGGGAUUAGAUACCUCUNUANUC
rnacentral:rRNA from 1 species